CAGUCGCCGCGGUAAUACGAAGGGGGCUAGCGUUGCUCGGAGUGACUGGGCGUAAAGGGCGCGUAGGCGGCGAUCAAAGUCAGGCGUGAAAUUCCUGGGCUCAACCUGGGGGCUGCGCUUGAUACUUGGUUGCUUGAGUGGGGAAGAGGGUCGUGGAAUUCCCAGUGUAGAGGUGAAAUUCGUAGAUAUUGGGAAGAACACCGGUGGCGAAGGCGGCGACCUGGUCCUUGACUGACGCUGAGGCGCGAAAGCGUGGGGAGCAAACAGGAUUAGAUACCCCUGUAGUCCCUGUCUCUUAUAA
rnacentral:rRNA from 1 species